UACGUAGGGGGCAAGCGUUGUCCGGAAUUAUUGGGCGUAAAGAGCGUGUAGGCGGCCAGAUAAGUCCGCUGUGAAAUCUCGAGGCUCAACUUCGAGCUGUCGGUGGAAACUAUCUGGCUAGAGUCCGGAAGAGGAGAAUGGAAUUCCUGGUGUAGCGGUGAAAUGCGCAGAUAUCAGGAGGAACACCAAUUGCGAAGGCAGCUCGCUGGGACGUUACUGACGCUGAGACGCGAAAGCAUGGGGAGCGAACAGG
rnacentral:rRNA from 1 species